UACGAAGGGUGCAAGCGUUGUUCGGAUUUAUUGGGCGUAAAGCGCGCGCAGGCGGACGGCUAAGUCAGAUGUGAAAUCCCAGGGCUCAACCCUGGAACUGCGUCUGAAACUGGUCGUCUAGAAUCUCGGAGAGGAAAGGGGAAUUUCGCAUGUAGGGGUAAAAUCCGUAGAGAUGCGAAGGAACACCAGAGGCGAAGGCGCCUUUCUGGACGAGUAUUGACGCUGAGGCGCGAAAGCGUGGGGAGCAAACAGG
rnacentral:rRNA from 1 species